rnacentral:rRNA from 1 species
UAGCUUGCUAUGGUAUAACUUAGUGGCAGACGGGUGAGUAAUGUAUAGGAAUCUACCUAGUAGUACGGAAUGAUUGUUGGAAACGGCAACUAAUACCGUAUACGCCUACGGGGAAAGAUUUAUUGCUAUUAGAUGAGCCUAUAUUAGAUUAGCUAGUUGGUAAGGUAAUGGCUUACCAAGGCAAUGAUCUAUAGCUGAUCUGAGAGGAUGAUCAGCCACACUGGAACUGAGAUACGGUCCAG